AGCUCCAGUAGCGUAUAUUAAAGUUGUUGCAGUUAAAAAGCUCGUAGUUGGAUUUCUGGUACGCUGCGCCUGGCCCGCCCGCUUCGAGCGUGGUGUGUGCUGGAGCGCGGUUGCCAUCCUUCUAGAGAACGUUUCUACCCUUCGCUGGGCUGGAUUCGCAAUCUAGAUCUUUUACUUUGAAAAAAUUAGAGUGUUUAAAGCAGGCAUUUGCCAUGAAUACAUUAGCAUGGAAUAAUAAUAUAGGACUUUGGUUCUAUUUUGUUGGUUUCUAGGACUAAAGUAAUGAUUGAUAGGGAUAGUUGGGGGUGCUCGUAUUUAGCGGCCAGAGGUGAAAUUCUUGGAUUCGCUAAAGACGAACUUAUGCGAAAGCAUUCACCAAGGAUGUCUUCUUUAAUCAAGA
rnacentral:rRNA from 1 species